rnacentral:rRNA from 1 species
GGCGUGUACUGCUUGGGCUGGGCCUUACUUCUUGGUGAGCCGGCGUGCCCUUUAUUGGUGUGCGUCGGGGAACCAGGACUUUUACCUUGAGAAAAUUAGAGUGUUCAAAGCAGGCCUAUGCCUGAAUACAUUAGCAUGGAAUAAUAGAAUAGGACGUGCGGUUCUAUUUUGUUGGUUUCUAGAGUCGCCGUAAUGAUUAAUAGGGACAGUUGGGGGCAUUGGUAUUGAGUCGCUAGAGGUGAAAUUCUUGGAUUGACUCAAGACCGACUAUUGCGAAAGCAUUUGCCAAGGAUGUUUUCAUUAAUCAAGAACGAAGGUUAGGGGAUCGAAAACGAUCAGAUACCGUUGUAGUCUUAACAGUAAACUAUGCCGACUAGGGAUCGGAUGACCUCAAAAUUGAUGUGUCAUUCGGCACCUUACGAGAAAUCAAAGUCUUUGGGUUCUGGGGAGAGUAUGGUCGCAAGGCUGAAACUUAAAGGAAUUGACGGAAGGGCACCACCAGGUGUGGAGCCUGCGGCUUAAUUUGACUCAACACGGGGAAACUCACCAGGUCCAGACAUAACUAGGAUUGACAGAUUGAUAGCUCUUUCAUGAUUUUAUGGGUGGUGGUGCAUGGCCGUUCUUAGUUGGUGGAGUGAUUUGUCUGGUUAAUUCCGAUAACGAACGAGACCUUAACCUGCUAAAUAGCCAGGCCGGCUUCGGCUGGUCUCUGGCUUCUUAGAGGGACUGUCAG